rnacentral:rRNA from 1 species
GAGCCUGACGAGCGAUGCCGCGUGAGGGAAGAAGGCUUCGGAUUGUAAACCUCUGUCAUCAGGGACGAAGAUGACGGUACCUGAAGGGGAAGCCCCGGCUAACUACCUGGCAGCAACCCCGGGAAUUAUACG